UGUAUAUCCACACUGGGCAAGCUUGAAAAAUAUGCCCGGCCACGGUGGGAAUCGAACCUACGACCUUUGGAAUACUAGCCCAAUGCUCUGCCAACUGAGCUGCGCGGUCAGGACGGUUCGAGUAAGUGAUAUUUCGGAACAGAAUCUAGUCCCUUCGAUCAGGGACCGCGGAGACGGGGGGGCUGGGGGGGGCUUUAGCCCCCCCACUUUUUUUGACAGCCAAAAUUAUUAAAAUAGAAAUCUAAAUGAAACUUUCUAAAUUAAUUAAACCUCACCCUUUAGCCCCCCCACUCUCUAAUACGCUCCGCGGGCCCUGUCUUA